rnacentral:lncRNA from 1 species
CUCUCUUUUUUUCUCUCGAAAUUAGCCACUAUAAAUUGAGUUUAAUAGCAACUAUUAUCCGAAAUCAGACCCUAUUAAUUGAGUUUAAUAGCAACUAAACUAACAACAAUCUGAAAACUGAAAAGGAACUAAUUCAGCCACUAAUUCUCACCACAAAUUUUGUCCUGACUUUAAAAGGAACAAAAAGAAAUCAGCCACUAAUUCUCACCACAAAUUUCGCCAUCUAAACAUAUCUAAACACAUAUAAUCUCUUUGCAACUAAACAAUCUAAUCAUACUUGCUGGUCUGCUGCUGCUGCUGCGAGAAGGGAGAUGGCGCCGGUCUGCAUCAGCGGGGGAGGAGAAGUCGGGGUGGGGAGGUGGCGCAACUAGCGCCGGUCUGCUCGUGUUGCGUCGUCAUAGGCGAGCCGACGUAGGAGAAGCCGGGGUGGAGGCGGUCACUGGUCAGAGUGGCAUCGGCGCGGCGUCACCGGGGGAGGAGAAUCAGGAGUUUUCACUUAGGGUAGAUUCAAUUGGAGGCGGCGGGUAGGGAGUGUCAAGUGUGAGUAGGGCAGAAAUGAAGUCAGGAGUUUUCAUUUAGGGAGAUAGGGGUAGG